GACGAACGCUGGCGGCGUGCUUACACAUGCAAGUCGAACGGAAAGGCCCUGCUUUUGUGGGGUGCUCGAGUGGCGAACGGGUGAGUAGCACGUGAGUAACCUGCCCUUGACUUUGGGAUAACUUCAGGAAACUGGGGCUAAUACCGGAUAGGAGCUCCUGCUGCAUGGUGGGGGUUGGAAAGUUUCGGCGGUUGGGGAUGGACUCGCGGCUUAUCAGCUUGUUGGUGGGGUAGUGGCUUACCAAGGCUUUGACGGGUAGCCGGCCUGAGAGGGUGACCGGCCACAUUGGGACUGAGAUACGGCCCAGACUCCUACGGGAGGCAGCAGUGGGGAAUAUUGCACAAUGGGCGGAAGCCUGAUGCAGCAACGCCGCGUGCGGGAUGACGGCCUUCGGGUUGUAAACCGCUUUCGCCUGUGACGAAGCGUGAGUGACGGUAAUGGGUAAAGAAGCACCGGCUAACUACGUGCCAGCAGCCGCGGUGAUACGUAGGGUGCGAGCGUUGUCCGGAUUUAUUGGGCGUAAAGGGCUCGUAGGUGGUUGAUCGCGUCGGAAGUGUAAUCUUGGGGCUUAACCCUGAGCGUGCUUUCGAUACGGGUUGACUUGAGGAAGGUAGGGGAGAAUGGAAUUCCUGGUGGAGCGGUGGAAUGCGCAGAUAUCAGGAGGAACACCAGUGGCGAAGGCGGUUCUCUGGGCCUUUCCUGACGCUGAGGAGCGAAAGCGUGGGGAGCGAACAGGCUUAGAUACCCUGGUAGUCCACGCUGUAAACGGUGGGUACUAGGUGUGGGGUCCAUUCCACGGGUUCCGUGCCGUAGCUAACGCUUUAAGUACCCCGCCUGGGGAGUACGGCCGCAAGGCUAAAACUCAAAGGAAUUGACGGGGCCCCGCACAAGCGGCGGAGCAUGCGGAUUAAUUCGAUGCAACGCGUAGAACCUUACCUGGGUUUGACAUAGAUCGGGAGUGCUCAGAGAUGGGUGUGCCUCUUUUGGGGUCGGUUCACAGGUGGUGCAUGCCUGUCGUCAGCUCGUGUCGUGAGAUGUUGGGUUAAGUCCCGCAACGAGCGCAACCCUUGUUCACUGUUGCCAGCACGUUAUGGUGGGGACUCAGUGGAGACCGCCGGGGUCAACUCGGAGGAAGGUGGGGAUGACGUCAAGUCAUCAUGCCCCUUAUGUCCAGGGCUUCACGCAUGCUACAAUGGCUGGUACAGAGAGUGGCGAGCCUGUGAGGGUGAGCGAAUCUCGGAAAGCCGGUCUCAGUUCGGAUUGGGGUCUGCAACUCGACCUCAUGAAGUCGGAGUCGCUAGUAAUCGCAGAUCAGCAACGCUGCGGUGAAUACGUUCCCGGGGCU
rnacentral:rRNA from 1 species